UACAGAGGUCUCAAGCGUUGUUCGGAUUCAUUGGGCGUAAAGGGUGCGUAGGUGGCGGGGUAAGUCUGGUGUGAAAUCUCGGGGCUCAACCCCGAAACUGCACUGGAUACUGCCUUGCUCGAGUACUGGAGAGGAGAUUGGAAUUUACGGUGUAGCAGUGAAAUGCGUAGAUAUCGUAAGGAAGACCAGUGGCGAAGGCGAAUCUCUGGACAGUUCCUGACGCUGAGGCACGAAGGUCAGGGGAGCAAACGGG
rnacentral:rRNA from 1 species